rnacentral:rRNA from 1 species
GACGAACGCUGGCGGCGUGCCUAAUACAUGCAAGUCGAACGCUUCUUUCCUCCCGAGUGCUUGCACUCAAUUGGAAAGAGGAGUGGCGGACGGGUGAGUAACACGUGGGUAACCUACCCAUCAGAGGGGGAUAACACUUGGAAACAGGUGCUAAUACCGCAUAACAGUUUAUGCCGCAUGGCAUAAGAGUGAAAGGCGCUUUCGGGUGUCGCUGAUGGAUGGACCCGCGGUGCAUUAGCUAGUUGGUGAGGUAACGGCUCACCAAGGCCACGAUGCAUAGCCGACCUGAGAGGGUGAUCGGCCACACUGGGACUGAGACACGGCCCAGACUCCUACGGGAGGCAGCAGUAGGGAAUCUUCGGCAAUGGACGAAAGUCUGACCGAGCAACGCCGCGUGAGUGAAGAAGGUUUUCGGAUAGUAAAACUCUGUUGUUAGAGAAGAACAAGGACGUUAGUAACUGAACGUCCCCUGACGGUAUCUAACCAGAAAGCCACGGCUAACUACGUG